CAAACCAAAGCUGGCGACCGGCGCACGGGUGAGUAACACGUAUCCAACCUGCCUCAUACUCGGGGAUAGCCUUUCGAAAGAAAGAUUAAUAUCCGAUAGCAUAUAUUUCCCGCAUGGGUUUUAUAUUAAAGAAAUUCGGUAUGAGAUGGGGAUGCGUUCCAUUAGUUUGUUGGGGGGGUAACGGCCCACCAAGAUUACGAUGGAUAGGGGUUCUGAGAGGAAGGUCCCCCACAUUGGAACUGAGACACGGUCCAA
rnacentral:rRNA from 1 species